rnacentral:rRNA from 1 species
GACGAACGCUGGCGGCGUGCUUAACACAUGCAAGUCGAACGGAAAGGCCCUGCUUUUGUGGGGUGCUCGAGUGGCGAACGGGUGAGUAACACGUGAGUAACCUGCCCUUGACUUUGGGAUAACUUCAGGAAACUGGGGCUAAUACCGGAUAGGAGCUCCUGCUGCAUGGUGGGGGUUGGAAAGUUUCGGCGGUUGGGGAUGGACUCGCGGCUUAUCAGCUUGGUGGUGGGGUAGUGGCUUACCAAGGCUUUGACGGGUAGCCGGCCUGAGAGGGUGACCGGCCACAGUGGGACUGAGAUACGGCCCAGACUCCUACGGGAGGCAGCAGUGGGGAAUAUUGCACAAUGGGCGGAAGCCUGAUGCAGCAACGCCGCGUGCGGGAUGACGGCCUUCGGGUUGUAAACCGCUUUCGCCUGUGACGAAGCGUGAGUGACGGUAAUGGGUAAAGAAGCACCGGCUAACUACGUG